rnacentral:rRNA from 1 species
CAGGCCUAACACAUGCAAGUCGAACGAGAUCUUUCGGGGUCUAGUGGCGCACGGGUGCGUAACGCGUGGGAAUCUGCCCUUGGGUUCGGAAUAACUCGCCGAAAGGCGUGCUAAUACCGGAUGAUGACGUAAGUCCAAAGAUUUAUCGCCCAAGGAUGAGCCCGCGUAGGAUUAGCUAGUUGGUGAGGUAAGAGCUCACCAAGGCGACGAUCCUUAGCUGGUCUGAGAGGAUGAUCAGCCACACUGGGACUGAGACACGGCCCAGACUCCUACGGGAGGCAGCAGUGGGGAAUAUUGGACAAUGGGCGAAAGCCUGAUCCAGCAAUGCCGCGUGAGUGAUGAAGGCCUUAGGGUUGUAAAGCUAUUUUACNCCGGGAUGAUAAUGACAGUACCGGGAGAAUAAGCUCCGAUGAACUCCGUGCCAGCAGCCGCGG